UACGGGGGGAGCAAACGUUGUUCGGAAUCACUGGGCGUAAAGGGCGCGUAGGCGGUCAGCACAAGUCAGUUGUGAAAUCUCCGGGCUUAACUCGGAAAGGUCAACUGAUACUGUGCGACUAGAGUGCAGAAGGGGCAACUGGAAUUCUCGGUGUAGCGGUGAAAUGCGUAGAUAUCGAGAGGAACACCUGCGGUGAAGGCGGGUUGCUGGGCUGACACUGACGCUGAUGCGCGAAAGCCAGGGGAGCGAACGGG
rnacentral:rRNA from 1 species